rnacentral:miRNA from 1 species
UUGGCCAAAAAGUUCAUCCUCAUUUUUCCAUAAGGAUGUUAUGGAGAAACCUGAACGACCUUUUUGGCCAA